rnacentral:rRNA from 1 species
UGCCAGCCGCCGCGGUAAUACGGAGGGUGCAAGCGUUAUCCGAAAUGACUGGGCGUAAAGAGUCCGUAGACUGUACUGUAAGUUAUUUGUUAAAUCCUAAAGCCCAACUUUAGAACAGCAUUUAAUACUACUUUACUUGAGUUUUGUUCGGAAGAGUAGAAUUCCACGUUUAGGGAUAAUCCCUGUAGAUAUGUGGAGGAACACCAUUAGCGAAGGCGACUCUUUGGUAAAAACUGACGUUGAGGGACGAAAGUGUAGGGAGCAAACAGGAUUAGAUA